rnacentral:rRNA from 1 species
AUACAGAGGGUGCAAGCGUUAAUCGGAUUUACUGGGCGUAAAGCGCGCGUAGGUGGCUAAUUAAGUCAAAUGUGAAAUCCCCGAGCUUAACUUGGGAAUUGCAUUCGAUACUGGUUAGCUAGAGUAUGGGAGAGGAUGGUAGAAUUCCAGGUGUAGCGGUGAAAUGCGUAGAGAUCUGGAGGAAUACCGAGGGCGAAGGCAGCCAUCUGGCCUAAUACUGACACUGAGGUGCGAAAGCAUGGGGAGCAAACAGGAUUAGAUACCCUGGUAGUCCAUGUCGUAAACGAUGUCUACUAGCCGUUGGGGCCCUUGAGGCUUUAGUGGCGCAGCUAACGCGAUAAGUAGACCGCCUGGGGAGUACGGUCGCAAGACUAAAACUCAAAUGAAUUGGCGGGG